rnacentral:sRNA from 1 species
GAAGAGAAGAGAAGAGAAGAGAAGAGAAGAGAAGAAAAAGAAAAUUGGAUGACUGGUACCAAAGAAAUCUGACAAGUUCUUCCUUUGCUAAUUUUCCUAGGUGCUGGAAUGUAAGAGUCACCUGGCUGAAACACUUCUGUCUUCUCCAGUGUUCAAUAUUUAGUGGUAUUCAGGUGUCUUAAGGAGAGUUUAACGCACCAGUUUUCAUGAGCUCACAAUAGCUAAGAACACCUCUUUUGUUAAGCCGUGGCAUGAAGAACAGAUCACUGUAAGCUGUUCUCAGACAUCCAAGUUUAGAGACUGAUCAGCUGCUGGGAAUGGUGCACCCACAAACCCAUCUACCAAAAAGAAGCAGCGGAUAAACUCACUCAUCUACAUACAGAGUCCUCAACUCCGCUGUGGUGUAACCUGCUCCUUGGACCCAGUGUUUCCCUCUAACAUCAUGGAACCUUACUGAUAUUGUUGACCUAGAGGGUGGGGAAGCUGAGCCAAUGUCUCAUGCAAGCAAGCGCUUCAGCACUAGCCACACUGCACACCACUCAUCACGUCACGUGAAUAUUGGUACAGAACCAAUAUGAAAGACGUUGUUCUCCUUCUACCCUCCUUCCCAACACCCACUCUUCCCCAACAGAACUCUGGAGUGUUGGUUGCAAACAUGGCCUGUAAGACAGAGACUAACGCUUCCCAGAUUCUCUUGGAAUUGGUUAUGCCCUGUUCUUAAGUUCUACCCAGUGAAAUAGGAGCAGAAUUCCUACUUGCACUUUCCAGGUUACACGCCCUUAGCAUACACAGUCCCUCUUCUCCUUUCUGCUCUUUCCUGCAGACUGAAGCGCUGAAAGAAACAUGAGCCACUGUGGACCACACAGGAGGAUAUCUAGUACAUCUCGGACGACACCAAAGGAGAGCCAACUGUGAGAGCUAGAGUUAUGCUUGAAGUUUUAACUACAAUGCCUAAAAGAUCCACAAAACAAAAAUGUCUCUAACCUGCAAGCUCACUUGUCCAAGGACAGGAUACUUUCUGAAAUGCCGGAGGCUGUUACUCAUAUAUGAUAAAAAGCCAUGUUUUCACUUCCCUAAGUGAGUUUGAUUGAUUCAAUUGCACCUGAUGUGCUUGACCACACAGAGAUCGGAAAUACGUAGACAGGAAGUACAUAAGGAUAUAUGCCUGCUUGAUUGGACAUAGGUAGGAGGUGUACAGGCAGGAAGUACGUUAAGAUACACGCUUGCUCUUGAUUGGUGGAAAAUAUAUAGAGCCUAUGGGUUCUGUCUUUAUAAGCCACUAAAAAAUGGGGCUUGCUGCCAUUUUCUGGGAACUGUGGAAUGGUCCUGAGCAUCCAGAGUCCAUCAUCUUGGCCCAUAAUUAAAGCUUGCUUCAAAUUGGCUCAAAAAGUUGUGGCAACAGUCUUAUUCUCCACCGGAGUAGUGUUUUUUGGAGGCCGCAGUGAGACUCACACUAUCCACCCAAAUACUAAAGCCAGACCUUCGCUCUGGAACUGCAGAGCUAAGGGGCCACCUCAGGAAGCAUAUGCCUUGAGACACUCCAAGGUUUUGACGUUGCCUUCGGUUUUAUGAACUAUGGAGUGUCACAGCCAUCUAUGAGGCCUUCUGGUUUUACGUCAUAGUCUGCUAUGUGUGUGAUCUUUUUCUGGGAUAUGCAGGAGGUUCAGUGGGAUCCCGAUUACUCUUCUGUCCAUGGUAAAUAGUGAGACCUUGCCUAUCCACCUGGUUCUGGUGGGCUGGGAAGCUUUGUCUGUCUGUUGUAUCUGUUUUGCAUGUGUGGAUGGGUCUAUGUUUCCCGUUGUGUUUGUAAGUUUUGUUGCAAACACAGAGCUGAGACAGGAAAGGGUCAUGUUCAGUUGAAUAUAUGAAUAUAUGAUGGCUACCAUGUUUUCUUUCUGAUUGUUCUUUGAGUAUGUAACCUUCCUUGUUCUGUCUUCUUGGUUAUAUUUUUGCUGUCUCUGCUGUAGUCAGUUACCAGUCACCAGCCAACAUUACUAUCAUGGCUGCUUUUAUGGCCAGGGCUCAGAAGUAUCUGUGAGCUUUCUGGACACUAGGUUCAGUUCAGCAAGGAUUCAAAUGUCUUUUGGUAUGGAUAAUAUUAUGCUGUUCUUAUUUAUUGAAAAGCUGGCUCUGGAACUGGGUUACGGCUCUCCUUUUUUCAGACCCAGGCAUGCUUUUAAAGUCUCUAUGCCAGGGUUCAGGGGAUCCACCUGAUGCUGUAAUAGGGAGAAGAAAGCAAACCGGAAAGCCAAAAGAAUUAGACUAUUGGUUUAUGUGAACUUUUUUGUACCUCACGAUUUAUAAGUUUACUGGGUAUGGUGUAAAAAUCUCUAAAAAAAAAAAAA